GCCUGUGGGGUAGCUCAGUUGGCAGAGCUGGCAACUCUUAAUCCUAGAGUCAUGGGUUUGAGCCCUGUGUCAGGCA